rnacentral:rRNA from 1 species
ACGAACGCUGGCGGCGUGCUUAACACAUGCAAGUCGAACGGAAAGGCCUGCUUUCCCUUGUGGAUUGCGGGUACUCGAGUGGCGAACGGGGGAGUAACACGUGAGUGAUCUGCCCCCAAAUUUGGUAUAAACCUGGGAAACUGGGUCUAAUUCCCGAUAGGACUGCAGGGUGGUGCCUGUGGUGGAAAACGAUUUUCUAGUGGUUGGGGAUGAGCUCGCGGCCUAUCAGCUUGUUGGGGGGGUAAUGACCUACCAAGGCGGCGACGGGUAGCCGGCCUGAGAGGGGGGACGGCCACAUUGGGACUGAGAUACGGCCCAGACUCCUACGGGAGGCAGCAGUGGGGAAUAUUGCACAACGGGCGGAAGCCUGAUGCAGCGACGCCGCGUGGGGGAUGACGGCCUUCGGGUUGUAAACUCCUUUCGACCGCGAGGAAGCCACCUGGUUGGAAGGGUGGUGACGGUAGUGGUAGAAGAAGCACCGGCUAACUACGUG